UUGGAUGAGUUGCGAACGGGUGAGUAACGCGUAGGUAACCUGCCUGGUAGCGGGGGAUAACUAUUGGAAACGAUAGCUAAUACCGCAUAAAAUUGAUUAUUGCAUGAUAAUUAAUUGAAAGAUGCAAUUGCAUCACUACCAGAUGGACCUGCGUUGUAUUAGCUAGUUGGUGAGGUAACGGCUCACCAAGGCGACGAUACAUAGCCGACCUGAGAGGGUGAUCGGCCACACUGGGACUGAGACACGGCCCAGACUCCUACGGGAGGCAGCAGUAGGGAAUCUUCGGCAAUGGGGGGAACCCUGACCGAGCAACGCCGCGUGAGUGAAGAAGGUUUUCGGAUCGUAAAGCUCUGUUGUAAGAGAAGAACGGGUGUGAGAGUGGAAAGUUCACACUGUGACGGUAUCUUACCAGAAAGGGACGGCUAACUACGUGCCAGCAGCCGCGGUAAUACGUAGGUCCCGAGCGUUGUCCGGAUUUAUUGGGCGUAAAGCGAGCGCAGGCGGUUAGAUAAGUCUGAAGUUAAAGGCUGUGGCUUAACCAUAGUAUGCUUUGGAAACUGUUUAACUUGAGUGCAGAAGGGGAGAGUGGAAUUCCAUGUGUAGCGGUGAAAUGCGUAGAUAUAUGGAGGAACACCGGUGGCGAAAGCGGCUCUCUGGUCUGUAACUGACGCUGAGGCUCGAAAGCGUGGGGAGCAAACAGGAUUAGAUACCCUGAUAGUCCACGCCGUAAACGAUGAGUGCUAGGUGUUAGGCCCUUUCCGGGGCUUAGUGCCGCAGCUAACGCAUUAAGCACUCCGCCUGGGGAGUACGACCGCAAGGUUGAAA
rnacentral:rRNA from 1 species